rnacentral:tRNA from 1 species
GGGGAUUUAGCUCAGUGGUAGAGCGCUUGCCUAGCACCCGCAAGGCCCUGGGUUCAGUCCCCA